GACGAACGCUGGCGGCGUGCUUAACACAUGCAAGUCGAACGAAGUGGCGAACGGGUGAGUAACGCGUAAUCAACCUGCCCUUCAGAGGGGGACAACAGGUGGAAACGACUGCUAAUACCGCAUACUUCCGGUCUUGUUUUCGUCUGAUUAGCUAGUUGGAGGGGUAACGGCCCACGACGCAGAUGAGCAGUAGCGUGUGUGAGAUGCAGAACGGCCACAUUGGGACUGAGACACGGCCCAGAAUCCUACGGGAGGCAGCAGUGGGGAAUCUUCCGCAAUGGACGAAAGUCUGAAGGAGCAACGCGGGGUGAGUGAUGACGGCCUUUGGGUUGUAAAGAUAUGUUAAUCGGGACGCGGUAAAGGAAGAGAAAGCCACGGCUAACUACGUGCCAGCAGCCGCGGUAAUAG
rnacentral:rRNA from 1 species